rnacentral:rRNA from 1 species
UACGAAGGGGGCUAGCGUUGUUCGGAUUUACUGGGCGUAAAGCGCACGUAGGCGGAUCGUUAAGUCAGGGGUGAAAUCCCGGAGCUCAACUCCGGAACUGCCUUUGAUACUGGCGAUCUUGAGGCUGGAAGAGGUUAGUGGAAUUCCCGGUUGUAGAGGUGAAAUUCGUAGAUAUCGGGAGGAACACCAGUGGCGAAGGGCGGGCCAAACC